rnacentral:rRNA from 1 species
UACGUAGGGCGCGAGCGUUGUCCGGAUUUAUUGGGCGUAAAGGGCUUGUAGGCGGCUUGUCGCGUCGGAUGUGAAAACCCGUGGCUCAACUGCGGGCCUGCAUUCGAUACGGGCUGGCUAGAGUACGGCAGGGGAGACUGGAAUUCCUGGUGUAGCGGUGAAAUGCGCAGAUAUCAGGAGGAACACCGGUGGCGAAGGCGGGUCUCUGGGCCGAUACUGACGCUGAGGAGCGAAAGCGUGGGGAGCGAACAGG